ACUCCUACGGGAGGCAGCAGUAGGGAAUCUUCCACAAUGGGCGCAAGCCUGAUGGAGCAACACCGCGUGAGUGAAGAAGGGUUUCGGCUCGUAAAGCUCUGUUGUUAAAGAAGAACACGUAUGAGAGUAACUGUUCAUACGUUGACGGUAUUUAACCAGAAAGUCACGGCUAACUACGUGCCAGCAGCCGCGGUAAUACGUAGGUGGCAAGCGUUAUCCGGAUUUAUUGGGCGUAAAGAGAGUGCAGACGGUUUUCUAAGUCUGAUGUGAAAGCCUUCGGCUUAACCGGAGAAGUGCAUCGGAAACUGGAUAACUUGAGUGCAGAAGAGGGUAGUGGAACUCCAUGUGUAGCGGUGGAAUGCGUAGAUAUAUGGAAGAACACCAGUGGCGAAGGCGGCUACCUGGUCUGCAACUGACGCUGAGACUCGAAAGCAUGGGUAGCGAACAGGAUUAGAUACCCUGGUAGGAUAGCG
rnacentral:rRNA from 1 species